rnacentral:lncRNA from 1 species
CACAGAAGGGGACACGGCCACGCUGUGGUGUGAGCUGAGCAAGGCGGCACCGGUGGAGUGGAGGAAGGGGCAUGAGACCCUCAGAGAUGGGGACAGACACAGCCUGAGGCAGGACGGGUCCAGGUGUGAGCUGCAGAUCCGUGGCCUGGCUGUGGUGGAUGCCGGGGAGUACUCGUGUGUGUGCGGGCAGGAGAGGACCUCAGCCACACUCACUGUCAGGGCCCUGCCUGCCAGAUUCAUAGAAGAUGUGAAAAACCAGGAGGCCAGAGAAGGGGCCACGGCCGUGCUGCAAUGUGAGCUGAGCAAGGCGGCCCCCGUGGAGUGGAGGAAGGGGUCUGAGACCCUCAGAGGUGGGGACAGAUACAGCCUGAGGCAGGAUGGGACCAGAUGUGAGCUGCAGAUUCAUGGCCUGUCUGUGGCAGACACUGGGGAGUACUCGUGUGUGUGCGGGCAGGAGAGGACCUCGGCCACACUCACCGUCAGGGGUAAAGACCACAUGUGGCCACCUGAGUGAUUCCUGUCUCCUCCCACCUAACCCACAUGAUCUGUGCUCUCCCAGUUCCUCUUGAUGUCAUUGCCAUCU